AACCCUAUGACGAAACCCUAAGCUCUCGCUCUCUCUGCAGACGGCUGCGGCUCCCCUCCGCCUCUCUACCUGGUCCGCAGCUCCUCCUCCUCUCUCCCUCUUCGUGUUCUUGUCAUUGCGUCCGGAGACUGUGGCCGCUGAUGCUAUGCAUUGUCCGUACCAUCCGAGAACCGCCUGCGGUUUCUGAUGAGACGCAUCAUCUCCUAACUGAGGCCGCGAUGUCGUUGCACGCCUGAUCGCUAUAUUUCUUUUCGAAUUUCGUUACGCCGUCUCUUCCGCUUUCGCCUUCGAUCGGCGAUUCCCGAUUGGAAUUUGUCGGUGUAGGGGCUAUUGGAUUACCAUAUGCGCUUGGUGGAGGGUGGAUCUAACCUGUUCUUGGUCACGGGUUUAUCUGCUGUUCCUAAAAGGCUUCUAUUAUCUGGAAUGGUCCGAUUGCGCGAGGGAUUUCUCCUGUUUUCGCUGUACAACCGAUUUCUAAAGAUUUACGUUAAUCUGAAGAUCAUUACUAUACAAUGGUUGCGCACAUUUGCGUCUUAUGGAUCGUGUAAUGGAAGGCAACAAAUUAGAGUCGCUGGCAUGCUCACUCGAUAGCACUGCCAGCGCUGUACGUUGCCGAGACCAAUUUGAGCUGCAGAUUCUGGCAAAGCCGGUUUGAUAACUCCGCCUUUGCAUUCAGAUGCUCUGAUAUUCCUAUACUCGUCCCCAAAUCUCCCACUCCUGCGUGCCUCCUUCGCGUCCUUUUUUACUUCGUUCUCAGCUUCAGGUUUCUGUCGCCAAACGCCGCACGAAAGAGUCACCAUUAUGAUUGAUCGCUCCUCAGUCGUUGCUUAUGGAGUUGUCAAAUUUAAUAGAUUAUGGAAUCCAAAUAGUUUUUUUAAGAAAGCUAAACAAAUUUAGAUAGUGCAGGUCGAAUCUGGACGGAGGAAUCUCGAAUCUACAGAAGAUUUAAGUCUCAAAGUUUCAGUUAUCUAAUCUCAUUAUGCUUUCAGUCUGCAAUAAUAUAUGAUUUAAAACAUGAUGGACUAAUCUCUGUGGCCCUCGUAAUGAAGGUUUGGGAAUAAACACGUAAUGAAUGGUUCACACAGCCAAUCUCUACGACAGCAUGUAUAAAGGAAUUGUUUUAGACUCUAGCCAAAAUUGUGCAAGAAAGCAAAAUUCUAAAGUUGAUAGAUGAUAUAAAGGAAUUGUUUAAGGCUCGUUAAAAUUGCGUAAGAAGACGAUCCUAAUCCACUUUCCUUAGUUUCCAUCUGUCAGCUAAAACUCUUUAUGACAUAUUAUUUUGUUGGGUCUGCUUUUAUCUUUUAAGUCAUUGGGCCUUUAUUUCCCUUGGGCUCUAUCUUUUUAAGCCCACAUAUUCAAUAGUACUUGAAUAGCUGUCACUUUUCUUGCCAUUCGUAAUAAAAUACAUGAUUAUUGAUUUGUAAUAUUUUAUUAAUAGUGGUUUAAUAAGUAAUGGGCAUCUUUAACAAUCGAAAACAUGUAACCAUCAUGGUAAUGAGUGUUUAUGUCAUAUUUUUUAUGCAAGAGGUUAGAAUUGCAUACUUUUGUACCUUUUUUACCUCUUAGCCAAUUGAGAUCUCAACUAUUACAAUCAUACUUACUAAGGAGGAGAUAUGAGAUGUGGUUUUCUCGAUGAAUAGAAAUUGAGUACUUAGAUUUGAUGGUUUUUUAGUUGAUUUCUAUAUAGUAUAUUGGAUAUUGUUGGAAUAAACCUAGUUUAUAUCAUCAAGGAAUUCUUACACCACAAAGUCUUCUUACAGAGUUGAAAAGUCACAUUUAUUACAUUCAUACCAAAGGUGGUCAACCCAAUUUUUUUUACAAACUUUCAGCUCAUCAAUCUUACUAAUGUGUGUAAGAAGAUUAUAUUUAAGAUCAUUAUAACAUGACUAAGCCUCUUCCUUGAUAGACUCAUAUUUAUAGAGUAAUACAAAUUUGUAAAUAAACGACACAUUUAUAAUAACAUCAUAUUCGUUCAUGAAUUAUUAUAGUCUUUUGAUAAUGACAUUUAUAGUUCCAACAUCAUCAUCAAACUAAAUAUAGAAAAAGCUUUUUAAUAAGAUCGAGUGAAAUUUGGUGCUUUGGAUUCACUAAUAAGUUCAUUGACCUAGUCAAUACAUGUAUUAGGGAUAAUCAUUUCUUUCUAUUAGUGAAUGACACUUUCACCCCCUUAUUCAAGGUAAUACAAGGGCUACAACAAGGUGAUCUCUUAUCACCCACUCUUUUCAUAUUAUUUGAAGAAGUCCUCAAUCAAACCCUCACUUAAGUGGUGACAUGCAAAUUUAUCCAAACAUAUCAUUUGAAGAGGGGUUGGCUGAUCAUAUUGUAUUUCUUAUUUAUUUAUGACAUGAUAAUUUUCCUUAAUAGAUGUGAAGCAUUGAUCAUGAGACUUAUGAUUAUCAUCAUGAGUUAUGAGCAAGUCACAAGUUAACUCAUUAAUAUCUUGAAGAGCAUUUUCAUAGUGGCAUCUUCCAUCACCAUUAACACUAUAUGACUCAUAUAGGAUAUAAUAGGGUUCUCACAAGGACAUCUACCAUUUGAUUACUUUGGAUGCCCCAUCUUCUCAAGUUCAUUAUUUUGAUACCCUUUUGUGUAAGUUAAGGAAAAAAUUUGUUAGAUGAAAGCUUCAAUUUUUAUCUCUAAGAGGUCAUGUCCAAUUGAUACCUCAUGUCCUCAUACGUAUAUAGUUGCACCUAUUUACAGUACACGAGGUAUCAAACAUUAUCUUAUGAUAUGUGAGGAGGAUAUGUACCUCAUUCUUGUGGGAUGGUUAGGUCAAUGGGUCUCAUCGCCAACAUCAAAUUUAUUGAGAGAAAGCAUGUUAACCCACAAAGGGUGGCCUAAGGAUUAGAUGUUUUAAAGACAUCCUUAACAUUGUCUUAUGAAAAACUCAUAUGACGGAUGAGGACAAUGAGAUCACUCAUAAAGACUUCUAUGUCUGUCAAAUAUGACGAGUGAGCUAACUAACCAGUAUACAUAAAACAAGUGAAAUGGUGGGUGAAUUGGCAAAAACAUUGGCUCUAGAUGAAACCUUUAAUCUAGUGGCAAGUGGACAAGGCACUAUCAAUGCCUUGUAUCAAACUUAACUUGUGGAUAUUCCCUUGGCCUCCUCUACCUCUUUUAUACUAUCUUAACCCUACCUCACGAUUACUCAACUUCCCGAGGGAGAUAUUAGAUUGCUCCAUAAGUGGCACACACUCUCCUUAUAUUGUUGAUAAAGUUGGGCCCUAGUGGUGAUCAACCUAUCUAGACUCUCACCUUAGAUGGGAGUUUCUCUUGUAAUUCUUCUUAGAACUACUUUAGAAAAUGUUCCACAAAGUAGUUUUGGAAAAAUUUCAUUUGGCACUAUACUAUCGUACCUCAAGUUUUUUUCUUCAUGUGGAAAUUAAUGCAUCAAAGAUUUCUUAUGAUGACUAUUUGGUUAUCACGAGACACUACACUCAUUCUAGGUGUCAUUAUUUCCCCACCAAUCUGAGGAGUAAAACUAUAGACCACUUAUUUUUCUAUAGCAUCAUUGUUACAAAAUGUUAAAACCAACUUUUAGCAAACUAGUCCCUAGCAUUCUAUCCUCUUUCAUCUCUUAUACCCUUAGAGAUUUUCAAAAGAGUCUUUGAUUCCUUAUAGAGCUCUGGGGGCAGCCCUUACCUAUAUAUUUUCAUAGUAUACAUGUUAUGGGAGAUAUGAAAGAGGUUAAAUUUUUCUCAUUUUACAAGUCAGGCAAUGGUCACCUCAGAGGUCAUGAGGCACAUCACAUAUUGGUUGUGGAAUAUCUAUCCUCUGGUGUCACUUAUUGCGUUAUGCUCAACCUCCAUUUGUAAGACAUUCACGACAUGAGAAAUCCAAGCCUUGUGUAUGUAUACACAAAUGACCGCUCAAGUUGUCCUUUGUAGACCACCGCCAAUAGGACAUCUAAAGCUCAAUGUCGAUGAAGUAGCUCGUGAGAACCCUAGACCUACAAGGGGAGGAUAUAUCUUAUGAGAUCAUAUAGGGAGUAUUAUCUUUGCCUCUUCCUAUUAUUAUGAUGUUUAGACUAACAUGACAAUAGAGGUUGUGUUGAUAUGCGAUGAUUUGCUCCUCUAUGAAGAAUGUAACCUACAUAUUAUCAUUUUAUAAUCCAACUUAAUAGUGUGAGGUGAAAUGUUGUAUGCAAGUAUAUAUUUUUAUUAACGACUCAUAAGCACCUAGAUGAAUAUCAUGUGUUAUCAUAAGAGGAUCAAUGCUAUCACACAUUAAUUAACUACGUGAGGGGAACUAGACAACAAGUAUGCUUGCUACACAUGUAGUAUGCACCUAUCUAAGAUCUGUUUCUUCUCUUGACAAGAUAUGCCCACAAAAGCUUGAAGUUAACACCACUUGGAGCGACUCGGCAUACUAACACUAUGCAUAGAGAGAAAGUUUCUACCUAAUAUAUCCUAGUAAUGGUGUAUCAUUUGAGGCAGCUCAAUGUCGAUGCUAACACACAAUGGAUGACAAAACAUAUUAUGAUCCUUCUAAGUAUAUCACUUUCAAUCACUACUUUCCUCAUAAUCACCUCACUUUCACCAUACACCACCACAUGUCAUGAGGACACACAUAACUACCAACACAUACUAGCAUUUGCCCACUUUUAGACUCUAGGUUUAUUGUACAUCAGUCGUUUUAAAUUAGUUGUGAAUCGUCAUCCCAACAUCUUCAAGAUCUCUUUAGUACCAUUAGUCAAGCUUAAACCCACGAGAAGGUAAAGUCUUAUAUCCACAAAGUUGAUCCUCCCUUUCUCUCUCUCUUUCUCUCUUUCUAAAAAAAAAAAAGAAGAGGUAGCCUACUUCUCUUCCCAUAAUCAAUAGCCCAAUAUUUGAAAAAAAUGUCAUGUAAUAUAAAGCCGAAAAGCAAAAGGCACAAAAGGCCACUUCUUGUACACCAAAAGCUUCAAAAUAAUUAGUAGAGUGUGAGGGAAGAGGUCUUCACAAAAAAAAAGAGUUAAAAAGAGAUAACAAGUUAUUCUAUUGUGGUGUGAAAGGUUUUUUAACUAUUUGGAGGAAGUACAAUAAUUAAUGGUAUUAACAAGAUCUUAACAAGAGGGAUUAGAAGUGUGGAACACUAGGAAAGGCAAGUCCAUAGGUGGGCUAUUGCCACAAGCUCUAACAUAGUUAUGUUAUCUUCACUACCCUCGCCAACCUACUUUCUCAUCACUUCACACACUUUUUAUCUUUAUUAGAACAACUUACUACAACAGAUUUACAUCUUACAGAAACACUUCAUGUCAUACAACAUGGAGGAUAAUCCAUCCCACUAGUGUUGUGCAGAGCUUUCAACAUCAUUGAUUGAAGUCUCCACUAGCCCAAUCCAAUAUUUUCUACUUCAUCAAUACUUUUGAGCAAAGUGAAGCCUCUCUCUCUCUCUCUCUCUCCUACUUCAUCAUACUCCUCUACUUGUGGAGGNNNNNNNNNNNNNNNNNNNNUCCUCUCUCUCUCUCUCUCUCCACUUUCAUCAUAUCCUCACUUGUGAGGAUGCUUAUAGCUUCUCCUCCCUGCCAUCUAAGAGGGUGAGACCCCUCUCAUGCAACCUUAGAGUGAGGUGAAAACUUGCAACAUUAAAUGAAACUUUUUCUUUUUUUUAAAAAAAUUUAUGUGUAGAUGACCACCAAUUGACAAGAAUCUCUCCCUCUCUCUGACAUGUAUAUAUAUAUAUAUAUGUACAUCUUUCUAUCUAUAUAUCUAUGUGUAAAGCACCU
rnacentral:lncRNA from 1 species